rnacentral:rRNA from 1 species
GACGGAGGAUGCAAGUGUUAUCCGGAAUCACUGGGCGUAAAGCGUCUGUAGGUGGUUUAAAAAGUCCACUGUUAAAAAUUGAAGCUUAACUUCAAAGAUGCCGUGGAAACUUUUAAACUUGAGUAUGAUAGGGGUAGAGGGAAUUUCCAGUGGAGCGGUGAAAUGCGUAGAUAUUGGAAAGACCACCAAUGGCGAAGGCACUCUACUGGGCCAUUACUGACACUGAGAGACGAAAAGCUAGGGGGAGCGAAAUGGG